GAGUAAUGUCUGGGAAACUGCCUGAUGGAGGGGGAUAACUACUGGAAACGGUAGCUAAUACCGCAUAACGUCGCAAGACCAAAGAGGGGGACCUUCGGGCCUCUUGCCAUCGGAUGUGCCCAGAUGGGAUUAGCUAGUAGGUGGGGUAACGGCUCACCUAGGCGACGAUCCCUAGCUGGUCUGAGAGGAUGACCAGCCACACUGGAACUGAGACACGGUCCAGACUCCUACGGGAGGCAGCAGUGGGGAAUAUUGCACAAUGGGCGCAAGCCUGAUGCAGCCAUGCCGCGUGUAUGAAGAAGGCCUUCGGGUUGUAAAG
rnacentral:rRNA from 3 species